rnacentral:lncRNA from 1 species
GUCUCAUCGCAGCCCUCUGGCAGGACAGCGCGCGUCUAAACUAAGCCGAGGCGCACUUCGCUAAGGGGACCUCUCCGUUUGGACAAUCCCGACGCCCGGCUCUACGUGAGGCGUUUUUCCCUCGUUCUCAUUCAUGGGCGGCGCUGGGCAUUCUCUGCCAUCCUUAGGGGUCCUCCACAGCAUGCGGGAGGCCGGCGCCCCAGGGCUCUUUCACCCCCCGCUGCUCUCGUUCCUCCACGUGUUCUCCCGAGCGACCCACCCGCGUUCAUGGUCCCAAACCCCCACCUAACCUCCAGCCAGCGCCCUUCUCCCGAGCUCCAGGCCCCUCCAGCUCCAGUGUGGGCAUCGUCCCCUGGUUCUCCUCAAGUCCACUUACACUCAGCCUCUUCCAGGCGGAAUUCCUCAUCUCCCACACAACCCUUUGCCGCUCUGGUAUCAGCUGGUGGCUUCUCCGUGGCCAUGCAGAGAAUAGAGACAGAACUUGAAACUGAUGUGCACAUGAGUGAGAUUCUUCAGCAAGGUGACAGACAGGAGGGUAAAGAGGAAGUAGGAUGAGCUCUUUGCUUUGAGUUUCUGUUUUCCAGGUCGGCUUGAUUGGAAAGAGGGAUGGCCGUGGUGAGAGUUGACAGUGUGCUGGUAGCCCUCGCAGCCCACGCUCGCUCUCGGCGCCUCCUCUGCCUGGGCUCCCACUUUGACGGCACUUGAGGAGCCCUCCAGCCCGCCGCCGCACUGUGGGAGCCCCUUGCUGGGCUGGCCGAGACCGGAGCCAGCUCCCUCAGCUUGCAGGGAGGUGUGGAGGGAGAGGCAUGGGCGGGAACCAGGGCUUCGCGGGUGCCUGCGGGCCAGCACGAGUUCCGGGUGGGCGUGGGCUCAGCGGGCCUCACACUGGGAGCCGCAGGCCGGCUCGCAAGUCCCGGGCAGUGAGGAGCUUACUACCCGGGCCAGCAGCUGCGGAGGGUGUGCCGGGUCCCCCAGCAGUGCCGGCCCACCGGCUCUGUGCUGGAUUUCUUGCCGUGCCUUAGCUGCCUCCCCUCGGGCAGGGCUGGGGACCUGCAGCCUGCCAUGCCUGAGUCUCCCUCCGCACUGCCAGAUGCUCCUGCCGGGCCUGAGUCUCCCCGACGAGCGCUGCCCCAUGUUCCACGGCGCCCGAUCCCAUCCACUGCCCAAGGUCUGAGGAGUGCCAGCGCACGGCGACGGAGUGGCAGGCAGCUCCACCUGCGGCCCCGGUGUGAGAUCCACUGGAUGAAGCCAGCUGGACUCCUGAGUCUGGUGGGGACUUGGAGAAUCUUUAUGUCUAGCUGGGGGAUUGUGAAUGCACCAAUCAGCACUCUGUAUCUAGCUCAAGGUUUGUAAACACACCAAUCAGCACCCUGUGUCUAGCUCAGGGUUUGUGAAUGCACCAAUCGACACUCUGUUUCUAGCUAAUUUAGUGGGGCCGUGGAGAACUUUUGUGUCGAACUCAGGGAUUGUAAACGCACCAAUCAGCACUCUGUCAAAAUGGACCAAUCAGCUCUCUGUAAAACAGACCAAUCGGCUCUCUGUAAAAUGGACCAAUCAGCAGGAUGUGGGUGGGGCCAGAUAAGAGAAUAAAAGCAGGCUGCUCCGCGCUAGCACUAGCAAGUUGCUAGAGUGGCCUGCCACAGUGUAAGUUUUGUUCUUUAGCUCUUUGCAAUAAAUCUUGCUACUGCCCACUCUUUGGGUUUACACUGCAUUUAUGAGCUGUAACACUCAUGGUGAAGAUUUACAGGUUCAGUCCUGAAGCCAGCGAGACAAAGAACCCACUGGGAAGAACAAACAACUCCAGACGCCCCAACUUAAGAGCUGUUAACACCCGAAGAUCUGCAGCUUCACUUUUGAGCCAGCGAGACCACGAACCCACCAGAAGGAAGAAACUCUGAACAGGCUGGAACGUCAGAAGGAACAAACUCAGGACAUGCCACCUUUAAGAACUGUAACACUCACUGUGAGGGUCUGCGGCUUCAUUCUUGAAGGCUGUGAGACCAAGAACCCACCAAUUUCGGACACACUGGGACCACCCUCGCUGACUGGAGUGUGAUAUCUCCAAGGAAGCUUAAUCCAGAUGUUUAUGAAGCUAGCAUGGCACUUCCUACAAAUGCAAGGAUUGUGAGUGACUCUGGGGCCUCUAUUGCAAAUUGUUCUAGGGAGAAAUUUGCCUGUCCUGGUAUCAAGCCCUGGCUGGAAGCCAGAGAGAGGGUUACAGAAAGAGAUUAAGGUGUCAGUGCUGGAGGCAGAAGAGGCUAUUGGGCAAUUUGUUUGCCUGGUUCUACCGCA